UUUGGGCCAUUUCCUAAAGAAAGCAAAUAGUGGUUGCCCACUGAAGCUAAGCAGGGUUGAGCCUGGUUAGUACCUGGAUGGGAGACCUCCUGGGAAAACUAGGUUGCUGUUGGAA
ensembl:rRNA 5S_rRNA 5S ribosomal RNA